UACGUAGGGUGCAAGCGUUGUCCGGAAUUAUUGGGCGUAAAGAGCUCGUAGGCGGUUUGUCGCGUCUGCUGUGAAAACGCGAGGCUCAACCUCGCGCCUGCAGUGGGUACGGGCAGACUAGAGUGCGGUAGGGGAGAUUGGAAUUCCUGGUGUAGCGGUGGAAUGCGCAGAUAUCAGGAGGAACACCGAUGGCGAAGGCGGGUCUCUGGGCCGUAACUGACGCUGAGGAGCGAAAGCGUGGGAGCGAACAGG
rnacentral:rRNA from 1 species